GGCUGAUCUGACUACAGUGGUGUUUACAAUUGAUCACAACCAGUUACGAAUUUCUUUGUUCCUUUUCCACUCACACUGCUUCACUUGACUAGCUUUAA
ensembl:misc_RNA Y_RNA Y RNA